UACGAAGGGGGCUAGCGUUGCUCGGAAUUACUGGGCGUAAAGGGCGCGUAGGCGGCACUGUUAGUCAGGCGUGAAAGUCCUGGGCUCAACCUGGGAACUGCGCUUGAUACGGCAGAGCUAGAGGAUGGAAGAGGCUCGCGGAAUUCCCAGUGUAGAGGUGAAAUGCGUAGAUAUGGGGAGGAACACCGGUGGCGAAGGCGGCCACCUGGACGGCAACUGACGCUGAGACGCGAAAGCGUGGGGAGCAAACAGG
rnacentral:rRNA from 1 species